GGAGUCCCUCUGAUGACACCACGAAUCUGGGAAUGAAGAACUUCUUAGAGCUGAUUGGAAAUGGCAUUGCGGAGCUGAAACUUAACUGGAGGAAAUAUAUCUCCUGACGAAGAAAAUAUAAUGCACUGUAAGGAUCUGACUUCUGGUGAAAAAUUCAAGCCUAGAGAAAACUUGUCCGCUUUGUUAGGAAGAAUGGGUUGGACAAUUUUCUUCAAUUCCAAAGGAUAUCUGAAUGCCAUGCUGAGCUUAAUCUCUGCAGCAUGCUCUGUGCUUCUCAUCUCUUCCUGAUGCACUGCAUGGUUAUCCUGAAGGGGAGGAUAAAGAAACUGGUCACCAAGAUGGUAAUCACUAGUGGAAAUGAAGAAGAUAAAGGCAGUCAAGAAAAGGAAAGCAAAGAAGAAACCAUCUUGGCAAUGCUUGGAAUUAUUGGGACAAUUCUGAACCUCAUUGUGAUCAUUUUUGUGUAUAUUUACACAACGUUGUAAACUAGAAGGCAUGCAAAUAGACCAGAUAAAAUGGCCAUUAAGAGUGACGACAAACAUUGCUGACUAUUGACAAGUUGUUUAAUCAGAAUUGACUGUGUAUUAUAUUAACACAUCAUAAAAGCACUGCCUGCAGGCAGCGAAGGCUGAAGCACAAUUAAUUUAACAAGACUUUUUCACACAGUAACAAGCUUAACUCUUCUGUCCUGCCCUCUUCCUUUCGGUUUGGGGGAAAAUGACCGCAAUUAUGUAAGCUGUAGCUUUGAAGGAAUCCACCAGGGAUAUGUCGUUUUAACACAAUUAAAAAAAAAAAUAAAAAGAAA